rnacentral:tRNA from 1 species
GGUUCAUAUGUAGCGGUCAGCACGUCUGCUUUACACGCAGAAGGUCCUGGGUUCGCGCCCCAGUGGAGCCA